rnacentral:rRNA from 1 species
GACGAACGCUGGCGGCGUGCCUAACACAUGCAAGUCGAACGGGGUAAUUCCUUCGGGGGUUACUUAGUGGCGAACGGGUGAGUAACGCGUGAGGAACCUGCCUUCCAGUGGGGGACAACAGUUGGAAACGACUGCUAAUACCGCAUAACACAUUCGGGGGGCAUCCCCUGAAUGUCAAAGAUUUAUCGCUGAAAGAUGGGCUCGCGUCUGAUUAGCUAGUUGGUGGGGUAACGGCUCACCAAGGCGACGAUCAGUAGCCGGUCUGAGAGGAUGAACGGCCACAUUGGGACUGAGAUACGGCCCAGACUCCUACGGGAGGCAGCAGUGGGGAAUAUUGGGCAAUGGGGGAAACCCUGACCCAGCAACGCCGCGUGAAGGAAGAAGGCCUUCGGGUUGUAAACUUCUUUUACCAGGGACGAAGAACGUGACGGUACCUGGAGAAAAAGCAACGGCUAACUACGUG